GAAAUGUUCGAGUUCAGAGUCAAGUGGGAAACAUGUAUGUUUUUGUCAUCUUGUUUCUUUCCCUUUGAAGCACCAUCUAACGUGUGCUGUGUUUUUAUCCUAGAGUACAUUCUGGGCACUGUGCACAAAGCCAAAGGCCUGGAGUUUGACACUGUGCAUGUUUUGGAUGAUUUUGUGAAAGUGCCUUGUGCCCGGCAUAACCUGCCCCAGCUUCCGCACUUCAGAGUUGAGUCAUUUUCUGAGGAUGAAUGGAAUUUACUGUAUGUUGCAGUAACUCGAGCCAAGAAGCGUCUCAUCAUGACCAAAUCAUUGGAAAACAUUUUGACUUUGGCUGGG
rnacentral:sRNA from 1 species